rnacentral:rRNA from 1 species
UGGGGAAUUUUGGACAAUGGGCGAAAGCCUGAUCCAGCAAUGCCGCGUGUGUGAAGAAGGCCUUCGGGUUGUAAAGCACUUUUGUCCGGAAAGAAAUCCUUGGCUCUAAUACAGUCGGGGGAUGACGGUACCGGAAGAAUAAGCACCGGCUAACUACGUGCCAGCAGCCGCGGUAAUACGUAGGGUGCAAGCGUUAAUCGGAAUUACUGGGCGUAAAGCGUGCGCAGGCGGUUUGCUAAGACCGAUGUGAAAUCCCCGGGCUCAACCUGGGAACUGCAUUGGUGACUGGCAGGCUAGAGUAUGGCAGAGGGGGGUUAGAAUUCCACGUGUAGCAGUGAAAUGCGUAGAGAUGUGGAGGAAUACCGAUGGCGAAGGCAGCCCCCUGGGCCAAUACUGACGCUCAUGCACGAAAGCGUGGGGAGCAAAACAGGAUUAGAUACCCUGGUAGUCCACGCCCUAAACGAUGUCAACUAGUUGUUGGGGAUUCAUUUCCUUAGUAACGUAGCUAACGCGUGAAGUUGACCGCCUGGGGAGUACGGUCGCAAGAUUAAAACUCAAAUGAAUUGACGGGGUCAUAGCUGUUU